UGCUGGUGGCCAACAUGCACCGCCGGCGAGCAUCCCAAAAAUCUAUUCUAUUGGGUUGGAGUAACCUUUGAAGACAGUAACCGAAACCCGCUACUGACGAAGGUCCAUUAAAAAAGAAAAAAGAAAACCCUAACUCCCCCUUUCUCAUUCUCUCUCUCCAUCCCUCCCUCUCUCACUUCCAAAACCCACGGCCUCUCUCUCUCUCUCUCUCCCCCCCCCCCCCCCCCAUUCCAUCCUCCCAAAACCGACAACCUAUCUCUCUCACUUUAAAUGCUAGAGGAGAGAGCUCCCCUUUGGAUUUGCAGAUCUCAACGAGCUCAUGUAAUUUCAAUGGCAGACCUGUUCGAUUCUCGCGCUCGCAUUGGAUUUAAGAUGCUGUACGAAAGCAUGAAAAAGAAGGUAGAGAGGGUGGUAGAAAGGGGUCGCUUGAUAGACGGUGAGAUCGAUGAUAGUGAGGCUUUCAAGAAAUGGACAGAUGGAUUUACUCGUCAUGAUCAUCCUGCAGUUGUUUAGGAGUGUCUAUUUGACGAUAGCAACAGCACGCCCAGAGACAUUAUUUGCUGAUACAGCUAUCGCGGUGCAUCCUGAGGCUUUAGAUGACGAUGACAAUGAAGGGCUGGAUUUUGUGACAACUUGAGAAUCUACUUUUAGAGAUUGUUGAAUGAUGAUGCUGUCACAAGAUAGAAUUAGGAGGGGCCUUAGAUCUUGGAAGGUUGGAAAGGCAUAUGUAUUAUCAUACAUCAUUAGGAAGGGUAAGUAGGAAAUGCCCAAAUGAUUUUCAAACUGAUAUGUAUGGCUUCUAAUAGAGCUUUGAAUCAGGUUUUGAUCAGAAUCUUUUUUUUUUGUCUUUUUUUCCUUGUUUUUUACCCUUUGUUUCAAGUUGAGAAAUUUCUAGCGAUUUUAGAGGAUAAUGCUGAUUGAUGCUUCAGUUGUUUUAGUAUUUCCAAAACAGCUAAAAGAGAUAGAUUGCAUCGAAAAGCAAACAAGGGAAAGGAAAUGGCUGGUUAUACACAAAGGGUUUUUUCUGCUGGAGUACUUACGUUCUAAAGGAGAGGAGAGUAGAGGGAGUAUCAAUGCUCUGAUUUGUGGAUUGAUGGAUGCUCUGAUUUGAAGCUCAAUGCUUGACCAUGGCGCCUGAGCAUCCUCCUGUGUGGACUGGUCUCUAUCCUGGUUUCUUUCCCAAUUUUGAGGUAAUCUCCUGAUCAUGGCCCUUUUGGAUGGACUGCCAAACCCAUGGUUGAAGACGAAACCCUCGGUUUGUUCUGAAAC